AAUUCGAUGAUACGCGAGGAACCUUACCUGGGUCUCAAAUGUAUGUUGACGUAUUCUGAAAGGGAUACUUCUUCGGACAAUAUACAAGGUGCUGCAUGGUUGUCGUCAGCUCGUGCCGUGAGGUGUCGGGUUAAGUCCCAUAACGAGCGCAACCCCUACCUUUAGUUGCCAUCAGGUUAAGCUGGGGACUCUAAAGGAACUGCCUACGCAAGUAGUGAGGAAGGCGGGGAUGGACGUCAAAUCAGCACGGCCCUUACGUCCAGGGCUACACACGUGCUACAAUGGCCGAUACAGAGGGCAGCUACCUGGUGACAGGAUGCAAAUCUCCAAAAGUCGGUCUCAGUUCGGAUCGGAGUCUGCAACCCGACUCCGUGAAGUUGGAUUCGCUAGUAAUCGCGCAUCAGCCAUGGCGCGGUGAAUACGUUCCCGGGCCUU
rnacentral:rRNA from 1 species